rnacentral:rRNA from 1 species
CAGGCCUAACACAUGCAAGUCGAACGANCCCUUCGGGGUUAGUGGCGCACGGGUGCGUAACGCGUGGGAACCUGCCUUUUGGUUCGGAAUAACAGUGAGAAAUUACUGCUAAUACCGGAUAAUGUCUUCGGACCAAAGAUUUAUCGCCAUUAGAUGGGCCCGCGUAAGAUUAGCUAGUUGGUGGGGUAAAGGCCUACCAAGGCGACGAUCUUCAGCUGGUCUGAGAGGAUGAUCAGCCACACUGGGACUGAGACACGGCCCAGACUCCUACGGGAGGCAGCAGUGGGGAAUAUUGGACAAUGGGCGANAGCCUGAUCCAGCAAUGCCGCGUGAGUKAUGAAGGCCUUAGGGUUGUWAAGCUCUUUUACUGGGGAUGAUAAUBACAGUACCCAGAGAAUAAGCUCCGGCUAACUCCGUGCCAGCAGCCGCGGUAAUACGGAGGGAGCUAGCGUUGUUCGGAAUUACUGGGCGUAAAGCGCACGUAGGCGGCUUUUUAAGUCAGGGGUGAAAUCCCGGGGCUCAACCCCGGAACUGCCCUUGAAACUGGGAAGCUAGAAUCUUGGAGAGGCGAGUGGAAUUCCGAGUGUAGAGGUGAAAUUCGUAGAUAUUCGGAAGAACACCAGUGGCGAGGCGACUCGCUGGACAAGU